AUUCCGUGCCAGCAGCCGCGGUAAUACGGGAGUGGCAAGCGUUAUCCGGAAUUAUUGGGCGUAAAGCGUCCGCAGGCGGCCCUUCAAGUCUGCUGUUAAAAAGUGGAGCUUAACUCCAUCAUGGCAGUGAAACUGAGGGGCUUGAGUGUGGUAGGGGCAGAGGGAAUUCCCGGUGUAGCGGUGAAAUGCGUAGAUAUCGGGAAGAACACCAGUGGCGAAGGCGCUCUGCUGGGCCAUCACUGACGCUCAUGGACGAAAGCCAGGGGAGCGAAAGGGAUUAGAUACCCCUGUAGUCCUGGCCGUAAACGAUGAACACUAGGUGUCGGGGGAAUCGACCCCCUCGGUGUCGUAGCCAACGCGUUAAGUGUUCCGCCUGGGGAGUACGCACGCAAGUGUGAAACUCAAAGGAAUUGACGGGGGCCCGCACAAGCGGUGGAGUAUGUGGUUUAAUUCGAUGCAACGCGAAGAACCUUACCAGGGUUUGACAUCCUGCGAAUCUCUUGGAAACGAGAGAGUGCCUUCGGGAACGCAGUGACAGGUGGUGCAUGGCUGUCGUCAGCUCGUGUCGUGAGAUGUUGGGUUAAGUCCCGCAACGAGCGCAACCCACGUCUUUAGUUGCCAGCAUUUAGUUGGGCACUCUAGAGAGACCGCCGGUGAUAAACCGGAGGAAGGUGUGGAUGACGUCAAGUCAUCAUGCCCCUUACAUCCUGGGCUACACACGUACUACAAUGCUACGGACAAAGGGCAGCAAGUUCGCGAGGACAAGCAAAUCCCAUAAACCGUGGCUCAGUUCAGAUCGUAGGCUGCAACUCGCCUACGUGAAGGAGGAAUCGCUAGUAAUCGCAGGUCAGCAUACUGCGGUGAAUACGUUCCCGGGCCUUGUACACACCGCCCGUCACACCAUGGAAGUUGGCCACGCCCGAAGCCGUUACUCCAACCCUUGUGGAGGAGGACGUCGAAGGUGGGGCUGAUGACUGGGGUG
rnacentral:rRNA from 1 species